rnacentral:hammerhead_ribozyme from 1 species
CUACUGAUGAAGAAUCCCAAACUUGACGAAACAGCUGUCCAGUAC